CACCCCUGUGUUCACAAUAGCACAAUCAAUAAUUUCAACAACAUGGAAGCAACCAAAAUGCCCAUCAACAGAGGACUGGAUAAGGAAACUGUGUUUUAUUUACUCCAUG